UUCCAGACUCCUACGGGAGGCAGCAGUGAGGAAUAUUGGACAAUGGGGGGAACCCUGAUCCAGCGACGCCGCGUGAGUGAAGAAGUAUUUCGGUAUGUAAAGCUCUAUCAGCAGGGAAGAAAAUGACGGUACCUGACUAAGAAGCCCCGGCUAACUACGUGCCAGCAGCCGCGGUAAUACGUAGGGGGCAAGCGUUAUCCGGAUUUACUGGGUGUAAAGGGAGCGUAGACGGUGCAGCAAGUCUGAUGUGAAAGGUCGGGGCCCAACCCCGGGACUGCAUUGGAAACUGUUGAACUGGAGUACAGGAGAGGUAAGCGGAAUUCCUAGUGUAGCGGUGAAAUGCGUAGAUAUUAGGAGGAACACCAGUGGCGAAGGCGGCCUGCUGGACAGAAACUGACGUUGAGGCUCGAAGGCGUGGGGAGCAAACAGGAUUAGAUACCCGUGUAA
rnacentral:rRNA from 1 species